rnacentral:rRNA from 1 species
GUGAGCGCUGGCGGUAGGCCUAACACAUGCAAGUCGAACGGCAGCACAGUAAGAGCUUGCUCUUACGGGUGGCGAGUGGCGGACGGGUGAGGAAUACAUCGGAAUCUACUUUUUCGUGGGGGAUAACGUAGAGAAACUUACGCUAAUACCGCAUACGACCUACGGGUGAAAGCAGGGGAUCUUCGGACCUUGCGCGAUUGAAUGAGCCGAUGUCGGAUUAGCUAGUUGGCGGGGUAAAGGCCCACCAAGGCGACGAUCCGUAGCUGGUCUGAGAGGAUGAUCAGCCACACUGGAACUGAGACACGGUCCAGACUCCUACGGGAGGCAGCAGUGGGGAAUAUUGGACAAUGGGCGCAAGCCUGAUCCAGCCAUACCGCGUGGGUGAAGAAGGCCUUCGGGUUGUAAAGCCCUUUUGUUGGGAAAGAAAAGCAGCAGGUUAAUACCCCGCUGUUCUGACGGUACCCAAAGAAUAAGCACCGGCUAACUUCGUG